rnacentral:rRNA from 1 species
GAUGAACGCUGGCGGCGUGCUUAACACAUGCAAGUCGAACGGGAAACAUUUUAUUGAAGCUUCGGCAGAUUUAGCUUGUUUCCAGUGGCGGACGGGUGAGUAACGCGUGGGUAACCUGCCUUAUACAGGGGGAUAACAGUCAGAAAUGGCUGCUAAUACCGCAUAAGCGCACGGAACCGCAUGGUUCUGUGUGAAAAACUCCGGUGGUAUAAGAUGGACCCGCGUUGGAUUAGCUUGUUGGCAGGGUAACGGCCUACCAAGGCGACGAUCCAUAGCCGGCCUGAGAGGGUGAACGGGCCACAUUGGGACUGAGACACGGCCCAGACUCCUACGGGAGCAGCAGUGGGGAAUAUUGCACAAUGGGGGAAACCCUGAUGCAGCGACGCCGCGU